rnacentral:rRNA from 1 species
GAAGUCCGGCUUGCUCGAUUGAAGCCCGGACGUUCUCGGAUGCGAGUGCCCAGUGGGCCACUUUUGGUAAGCAGAACUGGCGCUGUGGGAUGAACCAAACGACGGGUUAAGGGGCCCGAUGCAGGACGCUCAUGAGAACCCAUGAAAGGUGUUGGUUGCUAUAGACAGCAGGACGGUGGCCAUGGAAGUCGGAACCCGCUAAGGAGUGUGUAACAACUCACCUGCCGAAGCAAGCAGCCCUGAAAAUGGAUGGCGCUUCAGCGUCGACCCCAUACCCGUCCGCCGCGCCGGAGAUGCGAUCGCAUUAUGGCGCGGCGAGUAGGAGGGCGCGGGGGCGAGCGUGGAAGGUGCCGGGCGCGAGCCCGCCUGGAGCCGCCCCUGGUGCAGAUCUUGGUGGUAGUAGCAAAUACUCAAGUGAGAACCUUGAGGACUGAGGUGGAGAAGGGUUCCAUGUGAACAGCAGUUGAACAUGGGUCAGUCGGUCCUAAGGGAUGUCCGAAAGGAUUUCCGAAGGGGGGACUUUGGUGGAGGGGUCCCCCCCAUGACCGAAAGGGAAUCGGGUUAAUAUUCCCGAACCCGGACACGGAGAUCGGUCCCUCCGGGGACACGUGCGGUAACGCAAACGACCUCGGAGACGUCGACGGGGGUCCCGGGAAGAGUUGUCUUUUCUUUGUAAGGGUUCGGCUCCCUGGAAUCGGCUCGCCCGGAGAUAGGGAUGCUGAACCCGUAAAGCACCGCGCCUCUUGUGGUGUCCGGAGCGCUCCCGUCGGCCCUUGAAAAUCCGAGCGAGAGAUGGUGAUUUUCGUGCCGGCCCGUACCCAUAUCCGCAGCAGUC